GGAUCGGUGGUAGAGAUGGUCAAUACGGGGGACUGAAAAUCCUCUCAUGUCCGUUCGAAUCGGACCUGAUCCA
rnacentral:tRNA from 1 species